UGGGGAAUAUUGGACAAUGGGCGCAAGCCUGAUCCAGCCAUGCCGCGUGAGUGAUGAAGGCCCGAGGGUUGUAAAGCUCUUUCACGGGUGAAGAUAAUGACGGUAACCGGAGAAGAAGCCCCGGCUAACUUCGUGCCAGGAGCCGCGGUAAUACGAAGGGGGCUAGCGUUGUUCGGAUUUACUGGGCGUAAAGCGCACGGAGGCGGACUUUUAAGUCAGGGGGGAAAUCCCGGGGCUCAACCCCGGAACUGCCUUUGAUACUGGAAGUCUUGAGUAUGGUAGAGGUGAGUGGAAUUCCGAGUGUAGAGGUGAAAUUCGUAGCUAUUCGGGGGACCACCAGUGUCGAAGGCGGCUCACUGGACCAUUACUGACGCUGGGGUGCGAAAGCGUGGGGAGCAAACAGG
rnacentral:rRNA from 1 species